GUAAAGAGCUCGUAGGCGGUUUGUCGCGUCUGCCGUGAAAGUCCGGGGCUUAACCCCGGAUCUGCGGUGGGUACGGGCAGACUAGAGUGAUGUAGGGGAGACUGGAAUUCCUGGUGUAGCGGUGAAAUGCGCAGAUAUCAGGAGGAACACCGAUGGCGAAGGCAGGUCUCUGGGCAUUAACUGACGCUGAGGAGCGAAAGCAUGGGGAGCGAACAGGAUUAGAUACCCUGGUAGUCCAUGCCGUAAACGUUGGGCACUAGGUGUGGGGGACAUUCCACGUUUUCCGCGCCGCAGCUAACGCAUUAAGCGCCCCGCCUGGGGAGUACGGCCGCAAGGCUAAAACUCAAAGGAAUUGACGGGGGCCCGCACAAGCGGCGGAGCAUGCGG
rnacentral:rRNA from 1 species